GACGUAGGGCGCGAGCGUUUGUCCGGAUUUAUUGGGCGUAAAGAGCUCGUAGGCGGUUCAGUAAGUCGGGUGUGAAAACUUUGGGCUUAACCCAAAGCGUGCAUCCGAUACUGCUGUGACUUGAGUUCGGUAGGGGAGUGGGGAAUUCCUAGUGUAGCGGUGAAAUGCGCAGAUAUUAGGAGGAACACCGGUGGCGAAGGCGCCACUCUGGGCCGAAACUGACGCUGAGGAGCGAAAGCAUGGGUAGCAAACAGG
rnacentral:rRNA from 1 species